GAUGAAGAACGUAGUGAAAUGCGAUAAGUAAUGUGAAUUGCAGAAUUCAGUGAAUCAUCGAAUCUUUGAACGCACAUUGCGCCCGCCAGUAUUCUGGCGGGCAUGCCUGUCUGAGCGUCAUUUCAACCCUCAUGCCCCUAGGGCGUGGUGUUGGGGAUCGGCCAAAGCCCGCGAGGGACGGCCGGCCCCUAAAUCUAGUGGCGGACCCGUCGUGGCCUCCUCUGCGAAGUAGUGAUAUUCCGCAUCGGAGAGCGAUGAGCCCCUGCCGUUAAACCCCCAACUUUCCAAGGUUGACCUCAGAUCAGGUAGGAAUACCCGCUGAACUUAAGAAUAUCAAUAAGCGGAGGA
rnacentral:misc_RNA from 1 species